rnacentral:rRNA from 1 species
GACGAACGCUGGCGGCGUGCUUAACACAUGCAAGUCGAACGGAAAGGCCCUGCUUUUGUGGGGUGCUCGAGUGGCGAACGGGUGAGUAACACGUGAGUAACCUGCCCUUGACUUUGGGAUAACUUCAGGAAACUGGGGCUAAUACCGGAUAGGAGCUCCUGCUGCAUGGUGGGGGUUGGAAAGUUUCGGCGGUUGGGGAUGGACUCGCGGCUUAUCAGCUUGUUGGUGGGGUAGUGGCUUACCAAGGCUUUGACGGGUAGCCGGCCUGGGAGGGUGACCGGCCACAUUGGGACUGAGGUACGGCCCAGACGCCUACGGGAGGCAGGAGUGGGGAAUAGUGCACAAUGGGCGGAGGCCGGAUGCAGCAACGCCGGGUGCGGGAGGACGGCUUUCGGGUUGUAAACCGCUUUCGCGUGUGACGAAGCGUGAGUGACGGAAAUGGGUAAAGAAGCACCGGCUAAUUACGG